rnacentral:rRNA from 1 species
AUACGUAGGGUGCAAGCGUUAAUCGGAAUUACUGGGCGUAAAGCGUGCGCAGGCGGUUUUGUAAGACAGUGGUGAAAUCCCCGGGCUCAACCUGGGAACUGCCAUUGUGACUGCAAGGCUGGAGUGCGGCAGAGGGGGAUGGAAUUCCGCGUGUAGCAGUGAAAUGCGUAGAUAUGCGGAGGUACACCGAUGGCGAAGGCAAUCCCCUGGGCCUGCACUGACGCUCAUGCACGAAAGCGUGGGGAGCAAACAGGAUUAGAUACCCUGGUAGUCCACGCCCUAAACGAUGUCAACUGGUUGUUGGGGAUUUAUUUUCGCAGUAACGAAGCUAACGCGUGAAGUGGACCGCCUGGGGAGUACGGCCGCAAGGUUAAAACUCAAAGGAAUUGACGGGG